rnacentral:rRNA from 1 species
GACGAACGCUGGCGGCGUGCCUAAUACAUGCAAGUUGAGCGCUGAAGGUUGGUACUUGUACCAACUGGAUGAGCAGCGAACGGGUGAGUAACGCGUGGGGAAUCUGCCUUUGAGCGGGGGACAACAUUGGGAAACGAAUGCUAAUACCGCAUAAAAACUUUAAACACAAGGUUUAAGUUUGAAAGAUGCAAUUGCAUCACUCAAAGAGGAUCCCGCGUUGUAUUAGCUAGUUGGUGAGGUAAAGGCCCACCAAGGCGAUGAUACAUAGCCGACCUGAGAGGGUGGUCGGCCACAUUGGGACUGGGACCCGGCCCAAACUCCUUCGGGAGGCAGCCGUAGGGAAUCUUCGGCCAUGGACGGAAGUCUGACCGGGCAACGCCGCGUGAGUGAAGAAGGUUUUCGGGUCGUAAAACUCUGUUGGUAGAGAAGAACGUUGGUGAGAGUGGAAAGCUCAUCAAGUGACGGUAACUACCCAGAAAGGGACGGCUAACUACGUG